rnacentral:snRNA from 1 species
AUACUCACCUGGCAGGGGAGAUACCACGAUCAUGAAGGUGGUUUUCCUAGGGUGAGGCUUAUCCAUUGCACUCCAGAUUUGCUCACCUCUGCGAUUUCCCCAAAUAUGGGAAACUCAACUGCAUAAUUUGUAGUAGUGAGGGACUGCAUUCGUGCUUUCCCCUU